rnacentral:lncRNA from 1 species
AAUCUAUGAGAGAUGAACUUCACCUCCACCAGGAGUGACUGGGGAGCUUUGGCAAAAGGCUAGUUCCUGCUAGCCUUUGCCUGCACUCUGACCCUAGGGAAGGUCUGAGUUCCUCUCUGUCUGCCUUCCAUACUGAGAUCAACCAGGCAGAGCUGUUUUCUAGUGAGGGCUGCCUAUGUGUAUGUUGCUAAAUCCUAAAAAAUACAAACUGAAAAUAUGUUGCUCAUUUAAAUAGGACAAUACGGUCUCCAUGGAUUCCUUCCCCAGUUGUGGUUGUUUAAGAUAAUAGACAAUGGAAUGACAAAUGGAAGGUAGGAAAGGGCAGGAGGCUGUGGUCUGUCCAUGAAAAUUUGUGGAGGAGAAUUAAUGAAUUUGAGUCCUACAGAUAUGAGCAGACUGUUGUGCAUGGAGAAAACAACAAAGAAGGAAGUUGCACGGUCAUGAGUCACAGUUAUUUAUACCUGUCUUAAAGAUGUUAGUGAUCUCUUGCCCACUGCAUAGAUUCAUGAAAGGACUGGCUCUUAAUAGAGGCCUGCCCUGCAAGCCCAAGAUUUGGAGGUUGGAGGCUGUCCUCUGAGGAACUUCUGAGGCCAAGAGGGCCCAGCAGAGUGGUUCCCACAAAGAAGUGUGGUAAGAAGAAGGGCCCUUCUUCAAUCAAUGAAGUAGUGACCAGAGAAUCCACCAUCAAUAUUCCCAAGCACAUCCAUGAAAAAUUUCUGAUGAGGAAGAUAACAGAAAAAGGAAUUCUUGGGAACCAGUCAACUCAAAUUCUGAAACACAGCCCUGCUGUAACCGAGGCUAGCCCAACCAGUUGACAUGAUGGAGUAUCCUCAAGACAGAAGAUCAUUCCUUUGAUGCUGCCUUUCACUGGCCCUGGUGAGCAACCUUCAGCCGCAUUCACGGCUCUUUGACACAGCAGUUCACCCAGAAAGAAUGCAGUGUUCUUCCAAGUGGCAUUCACCCUGAGCCUGACCACCAGAAAAGUCACUGUUGCUCUGAAUAUUUCAUCACCUAACAGAGCUUUUCCAAGUCUUGGCAAGGUUGCUUAUGCUUAUAAACAAGCUCAGGUAAUAAUGGGGUGUGCAUGCAGGAAGGGGCUAGAGGUAUCAGGGUAUUCAGUGGAAUGAGUGAUGGCAACUUGGGGACGAUGUUAUUGCUGUGGGUCUGCAAUUUCCAGAGAGAAGUUGAGUUGGAAAGAGAGGGUAGAAAAAGGGAGUAGUAGACCGGGAGAAAAUGAUAAAUAAUCUGCUGAAACUAUCCACAAAAUAUUGACUCCUAAGGAAUAAAUAUUUACCAUUGGGUGUCCCUGCA